GGUUUAAACUUCUGCUCACAGAAGAAAAAAUAGACCAAUGAGCAUCUAGAAACAUAUCUUAUGAAAGACAAACACAAAGCAAGAUAUUUGUAUAUUUCUGAUGUGCCUGUAGUCCCAGCUACUUGGGAGGCUGAGGCAGGAGAAUCGCCUGAACCUGGAAGGCAGAGGUUGCAGUGAGCCAACAUCGCACCACUGCACUCCAGCCUGGGCGACAGUAAGACUCUGUCUCAGAAAAAAAAAGACCAACAUGGUGAAACCCCAUCUCUACUAAAAACACAAAAAUUAGCUGGGCGUGGUGUUGGGCAUUGGUAAUCUUAGCUAGUUGGGAGGCUGAGGCAGGAGAAUCACUUGAACCUGGGAGGCGGAGGUUGCAGUGAGCCGAGAUCACGCCACUGCACUCCAGCCUGGGCGACAGAGCGAGACUUCAUCUCAAAUAAAAAAAGAAAAAGAAUUUGAAAAUCGUCACUCUGUCACACUUUGCCAUCUAGAUAAAGAAAACCUGAUAGAAACAACAUUCUGAUUUAGUUAGAAGCACUCCCUGUGAUGGGAUACUGGCAAAGUUACUCAUCUAAUUUUGCUCCACAAUGUUUUAGACAUGGAUAACUUGGGGAGAUUCCUGACACUGACUAGGAUCAAUGG
rnacentral:lncRNA from 1 species